CGCGAACAGAGGCAACUCUGUGAGUGAUUAAGCAGAAGUCAGCAGACGGCAUAGUAGCCAAACGCCCAUCGUAAUGGUUGGGACACGGUGAAGGCC
rnacentral:ncRNA from 1 species